GGUGAGUAAUGUCUGGGAAACUGCCUGAUGGAGGGGGAUAACUACUGGAAACGGUAGCUAAUACCGCAUAACGUCGCAAGACCAAAGAGGGGGACCUUCGGGCCUCUUGCCAUCGGAUGUGCCCAGAUGGGAUUAGCUAGUAGGUGGGGUAACGGCUCACCUAGGCGACGAUCCCUAGCUGGUCUGAGAGGAUGACCAGCCACACUGGAACUGAGACACGGUCCAGACUCCUACGGGAGGCAGCAGUGGGGAAUAUUGCACAAUGGGC
rnacentral:rRNA from 1 species